rnacentral:tRNA from 1 species
GCCUCCUUAGCUCAGCUGGUAGAGCAACUGAUUUGUAAUCAGUAGGUCGCUGGUUCGAUCCCGGCAGGAGGCUCCA